UACGGAAGGGGCAAGCGUUGUUCGGAAUCAUUGGGCGUAAAGGGCGCGUAGGUGGCUCUGUAUGUCUACCGUGAAAGCAUACAGCUCAACUGUAUUUUGUCGGUAGAAACUGCAGGAUUUGAGGCUGGGAGGGGCUGGUGGAAUUCCCUGUGUAGCGGUGAAAUGCGUAGAGAUGGGGGAGAACACUCGUGGCGAAGGCGGCCAGCUAGACCAGUUCUGACACUGAGGCGCGACAGCGUGGGGAGCAAACAGG
rnacentral:rRNA from 1 species